rnacentral:tRNA from 1 species
GGGGAUUUAGCUUAGUGGUUCAGGCACCUGCCUUGUAAGUGCAGGUCUCGAGUUCAAUCCCCA